UCAACUUGAGAGUUUGAUUCUGGCUCAGAACGAACGCUGGCGGCAGGCUUAACACAUGCAAGUCGAACGAUAUAGUGGCAGACGGGUGAGUAACGCGUGGGAACGUACCUUUCACUACGGAAUAGCUCUUGGAAACGAGUGGUAAUACCGUAUACGCCCUUCGGGGGAAAGAUUUAUCGGUGAAAGAUCGGCCCGCGUUAGAUUAGCUAGUUGGUAGGGUAAUGGCCUACCAAGGCGAC
rnacentral:rRNA from 1 species